GUGGGUGGAAAACACCCUUAAUGUAAAAAAAAAUACUUAACGAUUGGGGAGGUAUUUUAUAUGUCGAAAAUGUGUACAAAGUUUGAAAUGAAUCGGUCAAGCAGUUUUGAAAUGACAGUGAACGCGGACUUUGAAAAAUUAUAAACUAAAAAAGGUCUGAAUAAGAUUAAUCAAUCGAUAUUUAAGAAAAAAAUUCGCAAAGUCAUUUUUUUAGCAUGAAAACCUUGCGAUUUAUAACUAUGAUAGUUGUACCACAGAAUCAAAUUACAGAGUUCCAAAAUUCCAAAAAUGUUUAUAAAAAUGAAACGAGGUUUUGUUCUAAGUGUUUAUUCCACGUUCCUUUUUUCAACUAUUACCUAAUUUUAGAUACUUUCAGUGUACAACUGGCCGAACUUUUAUGCUUAUCAAAAUCUCUACGUAAAUUUUAACAUUUUUCACAAUUUUUUGAAAUACAUAGAUACGAAAAAAGUAUACGCGUAAGAUGUGGCCACGUUAGGCUAAAAGCUUUUGCAUUACUCUCUAUAGAAGCCCAAUCAGUUGAAGAAAUGGAUUACGAUGACAUUGUAGAUAUAUUUACACGAAUAAGGAAAAUGCUUAUUAUUAUUUUUUGUAAGAGCUUAAUAAAUAUUUCUAUAUUAAACAAUAA